GACAGAGGGGGCAAGCGGUGUCCGGAGUUACUGGGCGUAAAGGGCGCGGAGGCGGUCGGCGGCGUCGGCGCUGAAAGCGCCCCGCUUAACGGGGCGAGGCGUGCCGAUACGCGCAGACUUGAGGAGAGCAGAGGGUGGUGGAAUUCCGGGUGGAGCGGUGAAAUGCGUAGAGAUCCGGAGGAACGCCAGUGGGGAAGCCGGCCACCUGGGCUCGUCCUGACGCUGCGGCGCGACCGCGUGGGGAGUAAACCGG
rnacentral:rRNA from 1 species